UUUAAUCUAUUGACAACGAGAGAGAGCACGCGAGUCGGCAUUCAUGCAACUGGAGAAAUGACUGUCUACAUGCGUGCUUUCUCUCGUUGUCAUAUGAAUUUGAU